UACAGGGGGUGCAAACGUUGCUCGGAAUUAUUGGGCGUAAAGCGCGCGUAGGCGGCCACUUAAGUCGGAUGUGAAAGCCCCUGGCUCAACUGGGGAAGUGCACCCGAAACUGAAUGGCUUGAAUGCAAAAGAGGGUCGCGGAAUUCCCGGUGUAGAGGUGAAAUUCGUAGAUAUCGGGAGGAACACCGGUGGCGAAGGCAGCUCGCUGGAACGGUACUGACGCUAAGGCGCGAAAGCGUGGGGAGCGAACAGG
rnacentral:rRNA from 1 species